CUUGCUUCUCUUGAGAGCGGCGGACGGGUGAGUAAUGCCUAGGAAUCUGCCUGGUAGUGGGGGAUAACGUUCGGAAACGGACGCUAAUACCGCAUACGUCCUACGGGAGAAAGCAGGGGACCUUCGGGCCUUGCGCUAUCAGAUGAGCCUAGGUCGGAUUAGCUAGUUGGUGGGGUAAUGGCUCACCAAGGCGACGAUCCGUAACUGGUCUGAGAGGGUGAUCAGUCACACUGGAACUGAGACACGGUCCAGACUCCUACGGGAGGCAGCAGUGGGGAAUAUUGGACAAUGGGCGAAAGCCUGAUCCAGCCAUGCCGCGUGUGUGAAGAAGGUCUUCGGAUUGUAAAGCACUUUAAGUUGGGAGGAAGGGUUGUAGAUUAAUACUCUGCAAUUUUGACGUUACCGACAGAAUAAGCACCGGCUAACUCUGUGCCAGCAGCCGCGGUAAUACAGAGGGUGCAAGCGUUUAAUCGGAAUUA
rnacentral:rRNA from 1 species